rnacentral:lncRNA from 1 species
GCCUCUGCCUGGCUGCUGCCACUUUUCCAGUGUGAUUCUGACUGUGAUUCCCGGUAGCCGUGCUGCGGCCAAGUACUGGCAGCGAAUUGUAGGGCGCUGGCAGAACGGCAGAAGGAGAACAGUGGGAGGGUCUGGACCGAGUGGGGGUGGGGAUCGUCCUACUACACGCUUUCAAGAAGGUCCUCUCCACCCAGUGAGAGAGGACCUAGGUCCGGGUCCCUGUGUCCAUCAUAGCUUGUUCUCCGUGGCGUCAAGAUGUCCUGGGGCCUGCCUGUCCCCUUGUACCUACCUGCAGAGCACAGGCUGGCUCUCGCCCAAACCCGAAUCUGUCGCAUCUGCGGGGAGUAACCUCAGUUCCCCGCUCUGCAGCCUUGAGGGUUUGGGCCCCGCAGCCUGGAGUGGAAGGAUGCUCUGCCGCCCACCGCCUGCACCCUCCCCGCACCCCGCCUCUGCUGCAGCGGACGGGGUUUAAUAAUGUCGCCGGAAAGUGACACGCGAUUUAUUAUUAAAGUAAUGCGGGCGCGGGGACGGGAAAGGUUUAAUAAACGCGCUGAGAGGCCUAGGAUUAUUCACCGC